rnacentral:rRNA from 1 species
UACAGGGGGUGCAACCGUUGCUCGGAAUUAUUGGGCGUAAAGCGCGCGUAGGCGGCUACUUAAGUCGGCUGUGAAAGCCCUUGGCUCAACUGAGGAAGUGCACCCGAAACUGAGUGGCUAGAGUACGAAAGAGGGUCGCGGAAUUCCCGGUGUAGAGGUGAAAUUCGUAGAUAUCGGGAGGAACACCGGUGGCGAAGGCGGCGACCUGGGUCGAUACUGACGCUGAUGCGCGAAAGCGUGGGGAGCAAACAGG